rnacentral:rRNA from 2 species
AACAUGACUCUCGGCAACGGAUAUCUCGGCUCUUGCAUCGAUGAAGAACGUAGCAAAAUGCGAUACCUGGUGUGAAUUGCAGAAUCCCGUGAACCAUCGAGUUUUUGAACGCAAGUUGCGCCUGAGGCCUUUUGGUCGAGGGCACGUCUGCCUGGGCGUCACGC